rnacentral:rRNA from 1 species
CACCUCUAGCAUUACAAGUAUUAGAGGCACUGCCUGCCCAGUGACAAACAAUCUAAUGUUAAACGGCCGCGGUAUCCUGACCGUGCAAAGGUAGCAUAAUCACUUGUUCUUUAAAUAAGGACUAGUAUGAAAGGCUUGACGAGGGUUUGACUGUCUCUUUCUUAUAGUCAAUGAAAUUGACCUCUCCGUGAAGAGGCGGGGAUUAAAAAAUAAGACGAGAAGACCCUAUGGAGCUUAAAUUUAAUAAUUCAUCUCCUACUACAAAUAAUCAACAAGAAAUAAAAAACGGAUUAUGAAUUAACUAUUUUGGUUGGGGUGACCUCGGAGUAUAGUCUAACCUCCGAAUGAUAUUAACUUAGACUUACAAGUCAAAGGUACUAUCAUAAAUUGACCCAGAAAACAUCUGAUCAACGAACCAAGUUACCCUAGGGAUAACAGCGCAAUCCUAUUUUAGAGUUCAUAUCGACAAUAGGGUUUACGACCUCGAUGUUGGAUCAGGACACCCAAAUGGUGCAACCGCUAUUAAAGGUUCGUUUGUUCAACGAUUAAAGUCCU